GUGCUCGCUUUGGCCGCACAUAUACUGAAAUUGGAAUGAUACAGAGAAGAUUAGCAUGGCCCCUGCACAAGGAUGACAUGCAAAUUUGAGAAGCAUUCCAUAUUUUA
rnacentral:snRNA from 1 species